ensembl:lncRNA
CUCUGGAAAGGCAUCCCCAGCAGAACCUCUCAAGAGAGUGUCCCUGAGCCAUGGAAACUGCAGAUAGUCCAGGCCCAACGGCUGCCAGAGCUUCUUUCUCCCUCUGACCUCACCUCUUGCUAGCCUGUUCCUUCCUCCUUUCCCUCAGCCCUCCUGUCUUUUCCACAACCUGCUCGUGGCUGCCCAGAGUCUGAGCAUCUGCUGUUCUUUCUGAAUCAGAGGUCUUUUCCCCAGAACCAGUUCCAUACUUUGCAGGGCCCAGGGGAAAAUGUAAAGGGAGGCAGAGGUUCUCGUUCAAAACUUACUGAGCAUUUAAAGAUAGCGACAGCAGCGCUUACUGAGCAUUUAAAGAUGGCGACAGCAGCGCUUACUGAGCAUUUAAAGAUGGCGACAGCAGCGCUUACCGAGCAUUUAAAGAUGGCGACAGCAGCGCUUUCCACCGAGCUCGGGACCCUUCUAAGCUUGGAGACACGGAGCAAAUCCACAAAGGCUGGCCCUACGUUUUCUUCCACACUUCAUCAUCAUCGUCAUUAAGGAAACAUUUGCCCGAUGCUCCAUCAGGCUCUGGAUACACAGAGAUGAAUCCAAGACCAGCUGUGUACUCAAGAUAUUUCCAGUUCCAUGGAAGAAGCAGCUCAUCACUGAACAAGGACAGUGAGAGUGUUCUGCUCUUGUAAAUAGGAAGGAGGAUAAUAUGACGUUUCAAUAAAAUGCAGGAAAACAGCACUGUGUAAGCAGCUCAAUGUGGAGUGCCAAAGAAGGACUCUUGGCAGCUAGAGACCUGAACACUGGACCCCUAUUGAGAUACCAAGAUGGGGAGGAGGAAUAUUCUUGGGGAUGUGGAAAUCUCUAAGGAAAACUGACCACCCACAAGUGUUCCUGAGCAUAGUCCUGCAUACAGAUAUGGCAACUCCGGAAAGAAUACAUAGGCUCAUCCACGACCAACAUGUCGCUCACCUCCCUGUGUUGCAUAACUCAGAGAGACAAACUGCUCUUGCAGAAGACUUCAGUCAAGAGCUCAUUUAUUUGGAAAGGACAAUCAACAAUCAAUUCAAUUAAGACAGAUCUUCAGAGAAUUCUUGAAAGAUAAUAUACCCUUUUUCUUUUUACAAUACUGUUUCAAGUAUACAGCAAAGUGAUUUGUUUUCGUUCUUUUUUCUUCAGACUAUUUUCCAUUAUAGGUUGUUACAGAUACUGAAUAUAGUUCCCUGUGCUGUACAGAAAAUCCUUGCUCCUUGUCUAUUUUAUAUAUAAUGGAAAAACGAUUAAAUGUCUCAGUGGAGAAUUUGAAGCCACUGAUGCUUCCAGAGUAAAUCGUCUCUGUCUCCAUGUCCUGCCCCAGUUACCUACACAGCUUCUUACUGACUGUUGUCCAGAUUCUGCUACCUAUUCACAUCUGUAUCCUCCAUGGAUUUCCAUCAACAGGUAUUCACCCUAUGUAUUGGAAAGCCUUUUCUAUAGUGAAAGAAGGUAAAUGUUUUAUUUUCUAAUUCCUGCAAAAGGACAGGUAGCUGCCCCUUGCAUGUUCCAUGAUACUAUUUAUCUCCUCGUACAUUUCCUCCAGGUGUCUUUCCCACGUGUACAGAAGAUCCAACCAGUCCAUCCUAAAUGAGAUCAAUCCUGAGUGUUCAUUGGAAGGACUGAGGUUGAAGCUGACACUCCAAUACAUUGGCCACCUGAUGCAAAGAGCUGACUCAUUUGAAAAGACCCUGAUGCUCAGUCGAGGGCAGGUGGAGAAGGGGAUGACAG